GACGAACGCUGGCGGCAUGCCUAAUACAUGCAAGUCGAGCGAACAGAUGAAGUGCUCGCACUUCUGACGUUAGCGGCGAACGGGUGAGUAACACGUAAGGAAUCUACCUAUAAGCGGGGGAUAACAUUCGGAAACGGGUGCUAAUACCGCAUAAUAUCUUCUUCCGCAUGGAAGAAGAUUGAAAGACGGCUCUGCUGUCACUUAUAGAUGACCUUGCGGUACAUUAGUUAGUUGGUGGGGUAAUGGCCUACCAAGACGAUGAUGCAUAGCCGACCUGAGAGGGUGAUCGGCCACAUUGGGACUGAGACACGGCCCAAACUCCUACGGGAGGCAGCAGUAGGGAAUCUUCCGCAAUGGGCGAAAGCCUGACGGAGCAAUGCCGCGUGAGUGAAGAAGGCCUUCGGGUCGUAAAACUCUGUUAUAAGAGAAGAACAAAUUGUAGAGUAACUGCUACAGUCUUGACGGUAUCUUAUCAGAAAGCCACGGCUAACUACGUGCCAGCAGCCGCCGUAA
rnacentral:rRNA from 1 species